UUUUGAAUUCACUUUCAGGAAUUUUUGCUCCUCUCAGCUGCAGCCUGCUGCAGAUAAACAAAUCGUUGUAGAGCAGGACAACUCUCUCUAUGUGUUUUAUUCUUUUAUAAAUGAAAUCUAAGCACUAAUAAUUGCACAAAAAUAUAGAGAUAGAGAUAGAGAGGGGGUGAGAUCUGUAUACCCAAGAUUAUUUGCGGCUUGGUGAAAAUGGUCGUACCUAAGCGGAGGAAGCACUGACAUAGACGGACGGAGGGCGGACAGGGGGGAGGUGGAUGGAGGCGCAGCAGAUAAGAGGGAGGCGGCGCGGCGGACUGGAAUUCAGGGCGAGGCGGAUUGGAAUUCAAGCGCACAGAGGAGACGCUGAAGUAGGCAGACGGAGGCGGAUCGGGGAGAAGCGAAUGGCGGCGAGGCAGACAGGGAGAGGCGGGGCGGCGGACUGGGAUUCAGAGGUAGGGCGGAUGAUUUGAUAGGAGGCAGAGGUAGAUUAAGGGGCUGUGCAGACGGAGUCAGGCCGAGGGCGCGUCGGACCGGAAAGGAGGCUGCCGGAUGCGCGUCGGAGCGGGGAGGCGGCGCGGCGGACUGGAGGCUGGGG
rnacentral:lncRNA from 1 species